CUAUAGAUACAUAUAGAUACAUAUAGAUACAUAUGCAUACAUAUAGAUACAUAUACAUACAUAUGCAUACAUAUAGAUACAUAUACAUACAUAUACAUACAUAUACAUACAUAUACAUACAUAUAGAUAUAUAUACAUAUAGAUACAUAUAGAUACAUAUAUAUAUACAUGUAUAUACAUGUAGAUACAUAUAUAUACAUAUAUAUACAUGUAGAUACAUAUAGAUACAUAUAUAUACAUGUAGAUACAUAUAGAUACAUAUAUAUACAUACACAUACAUACAUACAUACAUACAUUUAUAUAUAUAUAUAUAUAAUUUUGUCAUCUUUACAAAAGGAACAAAGCAGAUCACAGCACUCCCAACAUGAUUCCUUUUCCAACUUUGUGAUUUGCCCCAAUUAUAACCAUGCAGUGUUUGGAAUUGUCUGCUCUGAAAAAAAUAUAUGUACCAGCAAAAGUUUUGUGCUUUGUCUGAUCAUUUAACAAAUGUGGAGUACUAUUCUUAAAUUAUCUGCUGUGGAAAAAAAAAAAAUACUAUAUAUCUGUGAAAGUUUAGUGCUGGGCUUAUCAUUUAUCAUAUGUGGAGCACUAUUCUUUUGAGUGCUUACAUUGCUAGCUGUAAAUAGAAGAGAAUUGAUGGUGCAACGUUGCCAACCCAGACGGUGGUGGGGAAUGGUUUAGGAGGUCAAAACGAAAUGAAAAGCAAACCUAGCAGUGCUGUAGGUUCUCAUAACUUGUAAGAAAACCGAGACUGGCAAGAACUUGAUCCACUACUGCUUAACUCUUCCUCAGGGUUCCGUUGGAAAAUUCAGAGUUACCAGCCUUUGUUGAAUUUGAUUUGGAGAUUCCUGUUACCUGUACUUGGAAGAAGCUCCUGGAAAAUGGGUAAUAUAUCAACUUCAGCUCACAGCCUAAGUCCGAUCUGAACCACCUGUAAUAGCGGGUCAAUCUCUUGAUGAGACAGAAAACAGUCCAGACAUAUAAGGACCACAGCAUUACCAUUGCAUUCAUUAUAACGCCAUGAUGGGCAAUUAUCUGGAUAUUCAAAAGAAAUCAAGAAUUCCCUUUCCUUUUAAAUUUUUAUGCUUAUAACAACAGUGAGUGCUCCAUUUUUACAUUAUAUUAUUUCUGUUUUCUGAGAAAUACAUAAUAUUAUUUCAUACACAAACUGUAAUGUUAUGAAGAUUUAGGAUAAAUAUAAUAUUGUAGUUUUUAGAAACUUGUAUGGAUGUAUAUUAGCUGUUAUAACUGUCAUGUAACACUACCAUAAUUGUUCAUGAGCAUUAUUAGAAUCAUGGAGUACCAAUGUUUGAACUAAUUGGUAUGAAAAGGAUGCCCCUAUACAUAUGCGGUAAAUAGCUAAAAGCUAAUGGUAUAGUUCUUGAGCUACAAUUGGAUUUUUCAUUUAUUGGUAAAUCGAAUUUACUAUUAGUAAAGUGACAAAGGCAUUUGCUUUUUUGCUUUGAACGAUUCAAAGAUUUUUAGGAACACCAUUCAAAAUAGCAUUUUUCAAAGAAAUGCCAUUUUCAACGGUUUUUUUUUUUUUGACAAGAUUUCAGGUAGAUGCUGAGUGGGAUCGAAAAAAUAUCAUUUCAAAUGGUGUUUUCUCAAGAAAUACGUUAUUUGAAACGACGUUUUACAG
rnacentral:lncRNA from 1 species